rnacentral:lncRNA from 1 species
GCAAAAGGAAUUUUAUUACAACCUUGCAAUUCCAAAAUUUUUGGAAAGGACCACAAUUGAAAUACAUUACAUAAAGCUAAAAACCCAAAAUAAAUAUCAAAACAUGAAACCCAAGCUAAAAACUGGCUCUUGUAAAUUCUACCAACUGAAAUGCAAGCUAGAAUAACACAGUAGCCUUCAUAAGUUGAGAGAUGAAAUACAUAAAAAAACUGCAUCCUCAUCAAGCCUUCAACAAGUUAUAAUGCCUUAGCUCCUACAAACUCCUUCGGCAUAAGAGAAGCACCUCAACUUUGCAAAACAAAUCCCAAUUGAGAAAAAAUCUAUUGCAGCCAAAUCUCAUUCCAGAACUUUCUAAUAUCUUGACACCUCAAGAAACUCCGUCUUAAUAAUCAACUAUCUCAUCUACGUACAACCACCCCUUCAAUGAACAUCACCAUCAACAUACUCGGAAACAUUGUUAAGAAAAUACCUUAGCAUUGUGUUUGUGAGUAUUGAAGAAGACAGAGAUCAGAAAGAAGAAAAAC